GAUGUAGUCGAUCUCGGGGGUGCCGACGACGGUCUCGUAGUCUACCGAAAAGAAGUAACGGAGGGAGAACACAAAUAAAUAAUAGAGCAAACAAAGCAAUACAAAGCGUAACAUGGCAAUACGCGGUGCUAGGUGUGCCCCAACGCGGUAGUAGGUGAUACCGGCGAAGGGGGGAAACAUCCGGGAAAGUAUCCCCGGUGUUUCGCGUUUUCGGACAGGUGAACCGGAGGGGGAAAGUUGCAUGUUCGCUAUGCUAGGAAUGUAUGGCGGACGAACGAGCUGCGUAUUCGGAUUUUUCUCGUCGUUCUGAGCAACUUUCAUGUCCAAAGUUUUUCCAUCCGAGUUACGGUUUAUUUUAUAUUAAUUUUUUAAAGUUUUUUCUAAAAAUUCCUAGAUUUAUUCUUAAAAUCAAAUUAGAUCAGAAUAUACAUUUUAUACUCAACAGGGGCUAGCCACAGUCAAUGACAUGUGGGGCCAGGGGGCUGGGUUGACCCAGUUAAUUAGUCCAGUCCGUAGUUGACUAGUCAACUGUUGACUGGUCAAACCUGGGUAGUGGGGCCCAAUGUCAUUCUCACAGAUUUAGUAUUUCCUUUUAAAGAGAUAAUUAGAGGUGGGGUCUACCUGUCAUUGGCUAGCAAUUAAACUAACUGGAACUUAUCCCCUAGCUAAUUUGGACGGGCCGGCCACUGGUGGCUUGGCUGUACACGUACACGCACAUCACUCAUGCUCGGCCAUGGCCAUUAGCACAUCAUCUAGGAGUAGCAAAACUAGCAUCCAGGAGGAGCUAGAGCAGCGGCGGCCGGCUACGCAGCAAGCCGUAAACAGCAGCUGUAGUAAGUAGCGACAGUAGCAGGCAGCGGCUUGAGCAGCAGCAGUACGCAGAGUAGUGCGGCUGCCAGCAGCAGAGCAAAGCAGCGGCUAAGAGGAGCAGCAGCAGCGGCAAGUAGUAGCAGAAGACAGUGCAGCAAGAGCAGCAGUUAAGGCCGCGCCUUGGCGAGGCCAGGGAGCGACGGGCAAGCGCGACGACGGGCGUCUGCGAUGCGGCGCUCGCGGCCUUGCGGCAGCAGACGCCAGCAGCGCGCGGGCUGUGCAGCACGCGGGCGCGGCGGCCACGGCGUGCUGUGAGGAGCGGAGGUGCACGACCGCGGACAUGGCGGUGGGGCAGUAGUAUUCGCCGCGGUUUGAGGUCGAUGCAAGGCGGGAACAGAGGGGAAGCUCGCCAAGGGAGCUCACGGAGGCUCGUUGGUUGCCGGGAGCAGCAGAGAGCGCCGAAAUUCGCCGGAGAGGCGCCGACGGCCGAGGGGACGAAGCAGUCGAUCCCGGUGAUGUAGAGGCGCCCAGCUUGAACGGAUGGCCGUAGAUGACGUAGACGAACAUGACGGAGCUCCUGGAGGUGGUCGUGCAGCGCGGGGCAGUCGGAGACCGCGGUGACGACGAAGACGCGACGACGGCAACGCACGGGCGGCGGUUCGUGCGAAAGGGAGAG
rnacentral:lncRNA from 1 species